UACGAAGGGGGCUAGCGUUGCUCGGAAUCACUGGGCGUAAAGGGUGCGUAGGCGGAUCUUUAAGUCAGGGGUGAAAUCCUGGAGCUCAACUCCAGAACUGCCUUUGAUACUGAAGAUCUUGAGUUCGGGAGAGGUGAGUGGAACUGCGAGUGUAGAGGUGAAAAUUCGUAGAUAUUCGCAAGAACACCAGUGGCGAAGGCGGCUCACUGGCCCGAUACUGACGCUGAGGCACGAAAAGCGUGGGGAGCAAACAGG
rnacentral:rRNA from 1 species